UCCUCCCUCAAACCUCGGGUUUGGUGUUGGACCCAAGCUGUUCGCCCGAACAGCUGGUCUCAAAGACAAUGACGGCGUCCGUGGGACCCUCGGUGCAACGAGCUUUCAGGAGCACGCGUCGAGUUUCAAGGUCCUUCCGGGCCGGUCUACCCUUCUAUUUCUAA
rnacentral:misc_RNA from 1 species